GCUAAUUAUUGUAAAUGGUAUCUUAAGGAAUUAAGUCAGCGUUGCAUGCAGGAUUAGCGGGAAGGAAGGACAAAUGGAACCCCAGCCAUGCAUGCAUGCGAGCUCCGGUGAGAGAUCAAUUCCGCCCAUUAAAUUAUGUUGCUCCCAUGAGAUUUUUUCUUCUAAAAUCCCAAAUGGAUUUUCUAAAUUUUACGUGAAUGAACCCCAGACGGAUUUGUGGGCGAUAUGUUUGAAUCUCCAAGAAGCUUCAACGAGGGGCGCUGGUGCAUGCGUUCGGGUUGAAUCUCCAAGAAGCUUCACCGACUUCCCAUUGGUAAGUCCAAUUUAUUUUGUGUUUCAACCUUCUUCCUAUAGCACUUGUGCUUGAUAAUGAUGUUGUACACAAAAUGGCUUAUGAGAUAUCUGGAUAAUGUGUAUACAAAUGAUUUUUGGUUAAUAAUUUGUAUGAUUCAUUUGGCAAAAAAAUAUUCUUGUUCUUUGUGGAGCUUUAUACAGCAGUUCUGUCAUCAUAGCCUUUUCAAGUCUGUACAUCUACAUGGAAAGGUUCGCCUACAAACUAGGGUUCACUUGGGUUAAAAAAAGUAUAUUUUACACACACAAAAUGCUUGAAGUUCAAUUACUGAUUCUUAGUAAGUACACUCUAUUUUGGGGAGUGCACAUCUUGCUUAGAAAACAUGGGUAAGUUCAUGAAGAGAAAAAUCAUACGUUGAAAAUCUAGGAAAGCGGUAAUCCAUAGGCCCAUGCCACAGUGCCGAUGCAUACAUGCCUGCUUCUACCCGCAGUUUUACUAGUUGUUUGUUGAACAUUCCAUGGAAUGUUUUUAGAUGCUAAGUGCCAGUGCCACGGUUGAUGGUGGUAUACAUAAAAAACAAUGCAUUGUGGCAGUGUAGCUGAACUAGAGCAUCGAAGGCUAAUUAAUUGUAGUUUCUUGUUGCACAAUAACAGUUUGUGUGCACCAUGUGUGUAAGAAUGUUGUUGCUGGAUGGCCAAAAAAACAGAGCUUAAUUAGUCUCGACAAUACAAUGGUUGGCUGGAGAUUUCUUUUUACUUGUCCAGAGAAAAUUAUAUCUAUACUAUGUGUAUCAGUUUAUGAUAUAAUUUUCAUCAAUUCAUAAUUCUAUCUUCUUAUGAUAUAUAAAAAUAUACUAGUUUGGAUCUUCAUUAGUUUCUCAGUCUUCAGUCUCAUUUUCUUCUUCAGUACGUCUUGUCCCUAUGUCAUUCUCAGUAAUUGUUUAGUAUUAGCUAUUCUGGUUAUCAUUCAGAGAUAAGAGGUGAGUGUUUGGUGUUUCACUCCAUCUAGCGGGGAGGCGCCUCGGCCGCUGUCCGAUGGACCGUCUGGUCUGCCGCCUUCUCCGUCCGAUGGGCAGCAAACCUCUUGGCUGCUCUGCGGUGGUUCCUCUUGUCGUCCCUCCGCAUGGCCGUAUUGUGCUGAUGCUGCUGCAGCUGCUGCAUAUUUGCGCUGGGCUUGCAGUUUCCUCAUUGCACUGCUUGAUUUCUUAUGUGAUGCCGCAGACAGAAAGUUUCUGAGUACGUGAUGCAUCGAUGGACGCACCCCAAGCGGCCAAACACGACGUGUUUUGUCCUGUGCGCAGAAGCUUUGGAGGCGAUGUGUUGCCCUUAGUACUUUCUCGACAAAUCCAGCAGUGUUGUUUCAUAUAGAACUUGAAAUUACCUAUCUGCCAUGGGGAUGUACUGCCCUCAGCCCUCUCUCAGCAAAACUAGCAGUGCAGGUUCUCUGGUAUACAUCUUAAUAAGUUUUAACAUGUACAUCUUUUCAGUACAAAUUUUUAAGAAGUUUCUUUCUGAACUUCUCACAAUUAAUAUACAUGAACUUGAUUAUCUUUUUAACAUGUACUAAUAUCAGCUUCGUUGGAUUUUUGUGCGUGUGUUUGUAACACAAUCAGUUCAGAUCUCGAGAGACCGUAAGUUCAAUUACCACUGAGCAUCCAAAAUGGAUACAAGAUCAGAACAUGGACAAUCACCAUGCGAGUAAACCCUUUUUGUUCCUUGUGAAGUAUUACCUUUCAAUUAUUGAAACAUCAAGUUUCUUGUAAGUAACUGUUAGUACUAAUGCAAUCAUCUAAUCUUUUUUCUUAUGUCAUUAGCAACUAUUUUUUUGCUUCAGUCAUACAUAAGUAUCUUGAUUCUUGUUUACCUCUUAUUGCAGGAUGAUUCCAUUCUCUGCAAUUUCCAUUAGACAAGUGGGCUAGGUCCAAAGAUCGGGGAACAAUAUGGCGCUCUAUUUGAGGAAGAGGAAUUGAAUAGACACAAAGAGUGUAUAUUUACUUUUCUUGUAAGUAAACCUGCCGCCGAUCCUCCACUGCUCCAUUAAUGCUCCCCUAGCAUGUGCAAGUCCCCUUGUUAUACUCUUUAUUUAUUUCUGUACCAUUAGCAAUGUAAGCACCAAAAUUAGGCUUCCAGUUUGCUAAGUUGCUUUAGUACCAGUAUCAAAAUGUAUAUGUUAUAGCAGUUCCAUUUGUUAAUUGCUAUUGCAGAUUCAGUAAAUGCUGCCUAAUUUGUCUUCUUAGUGUAGUUUUAUUGUGAAGAUUUUUUAAUGCACACCGAAACCAGAUGUCUACUGCUACAUGCGCAUCAUAUGCAUAUUUUUCCAUCGAGAAACCUCAUCAUAUGUAUUUGUCUUCUAACUUUAGAUUUUGAUAAUGCGAAGUUAUAUACGUGUACACAUUUCUAAUUUCUAUUGCUAUUAGUUCAAAUGAUCAAUUGAUAUAAGUUCCCAUGAUAUUGUCCCAUCAGUUCAAGUGAUCAUUGUUGUCUUUGUUUAAGCUGUUCAAGUACAAAAUUAGUAGCAUUGAUCUUUGUGCAGCGAUCAGGACGUUCAGCUCUGCCUCCGCAAGCCGUUCACCCCUGCCACAGGAGGCCGUUCGACGAUGCAGCGCUAUCAUGUUGUGUUUUUUCAGUACAUGUUUUGUGUGCUUUUCAGUUCACCUACUUGAUGAUUCUAUGUCCAAUUUCCCCCCCGUUUAUGUGUUCUUCCUAUAGUAAACUAGGUGUUUGUGUUGUGCCUUAAUAAGCAUUACCUUGUAUGGAUCAAAACUACCAUAUGUUCUUGUAAAUGAAGCUCUGCUUCUGUUUUGUUUGAAGUUAUUUGAUACGUCUCCGUCGUAUUUACUUUUUCAAACACUUUUGCCCGUGUUUUGGACUCUUAACUUGUAUGAUUUGGAUUUUUUUUUCAAAUCUAUGACGCAUUUUAUAGCAAAUUCGAAAACUAUAGCAAAGAAUAGAGAAAAAUCAAAA
rnacentral:lncRNA from 1 species